ACUGACACAAAUCUCAUGUUUUUGCAGAUGAGGAUAGGCAUUCACUCAGGAUCAGUGCUGGCCGGCGUUGUUGGUGUAAGAAUGCCACGCUACUGUCUCUUUGGAAACAAUGUCACCCUUGCAAGCAAGUUUGAGUCAGGAAGUCAUCCACGUCGCAUCAAUGUCAGUCCAACCACAUACCAGCUUUUGAAAAAGGAAGAAAAUUUUAUUUUUAUCCCUCGUUCCCGUGAAGAGCUUCCAGAAAACUUUCCAAAGGAAAUUCCUGGGAUCUGUUACUUCCUCGAGGUCAGAAGUGGUCAGAAGCAGCCAAAACCCUCCAUCACAUCUGCCAGAGUGAGGAAAGUUUCUUACAACAUUGGCACCAUGUUCCUCCGGGAGACCAGCCUAUGAGGCCUGCUGCAGAUCAAAGACUCGUCAAAAAGCACAAGCCCAGAACUGGGUCAUGCCAGGGGAAUCGGAGGUUCUUUCUAUUUCACUGCCUUGUUCUGAACAAGCAGUAAAAGCUUCAUGUAAUGUCAGGCAAUAAUCAUUUUAAAGGUGGGUGACUGCUGUUGGUAAACAGAGUGGAGAUAGGGAAAAAAGUGUUUGAACAAAUACUUCCACUUCCAGAGGAAUUUCAUUAGUAAACUUGAGUCUGGCCCCUUUAUGACAAACAAACACAAACAAAACGAAGAAACAACUCUCACAUUAGAGGUUGGUUUUGUUUUGUGCAGAAAGGGUGAUGGUUCUCUGUAGAUUUGCACCAGCUAAGCAGAAUUGAGAGUCAGUUCUGAUUAUGCAUUCCUACAUUCAAUGUGUUCUUCAGUACGGUAAUGAUGUUUUUUAACUUUAUGAACAAACAUUUCAUACAUGUACUGUAGAGUUGUUGUAACCUUCCUGGCAGGAGGAAUUAUAAUUCAGUACAAAUGUUGUAGGGAUUUUACCUAUUUUUAUACAUAUUUCACUUUCUGGAUAAUUACAUUCCACAUACUGUAAGCUGAGUAAGCCUAGAUAGCUUUUCAGAAGCUACUGUAUAUUUCAUAUAUUCUACCUAUCAAAGCUUAUUGUUAUACAAAUGGGAAGAAGUCAUUUUUUUGACUUUUUUGGCAUCAAAAAAAAAUCAAUAUUUUAAAGGAAGAAAAAAAAACAUUUUGGUAAACCUCUUUACCUGAUGUUUAUGGUAAACUUUAAGUGAGCAUUGUCUUGCUAAUACAAAAUAAUGUUCAGUAUUUGUCCUAUAGUGCUAUGUGUCCACUGUUUCUGGGACAAAGCAAACAAAAUGUAAAAGAACAAUUUAUUAACAAACAGAAAAGUUCUGUUAUACACAGUGGGGCUUUUUUUCCGCAACAAAUUCUCAUCCAAAUUAAUAUUUGGUACAAGUCCUUCCUCUGAGAGAGUCCAGCAAACUCUGGAGCACUCCGGAUACUGGUUUUCCAGUUUUUUAAAAGGACUUCUGCUCCUGCUCUAAAAAUCCUAUCUGCUAUUAAAAAUGCUCAUUUGGAAAUUUCCUCUGUGGUGGAUUGGAUGAAAGCUUUAUCUAAUGUAGACCAAAAAAUACUGAAAAGGGAAGUAAGAAGACAUUACUAAAAGAAGUAAUGUCUCAGAUUUAAUGCAAAUGCCAGUUCAAGAUUUAGAGCAGUCUAUGUUAAUUAAAUUAAUAAAUAAAAAAAAAAAAAAAGAAGUCCCAAUUCCUGGUUAAAUUUAAAAUAGUUUUAUUUUCUUCAGUGAAACCAACUGAAACAAGAAACAAGAUGUAAAUCAGUCCUCCCAGUAGACACAUUUUCAGGCAGUGUUUAUUUCUUAGGCUUUCCUUUGCAGAAGUGACAGCAGUCAGUUUUCUUUUGUAGGUGUACUUCCCUUAAGUACUUCCCUUCCUAUCAAUUGAGCCAAUAUUCUUCUAGUUUUGUAAAUUGUUAGAAAUCAUUAAUGCAGUGAUUUCAAAUUGGCUUAGCUUUACAAUCACCUGAUCAAAGGUUGAAGAUAUCAAAGACAAAACUCUCAACAGCUCAGCACUUCUGUAAUCCAAAUCAGAAAAUUGGGGUUUACUUAUGGAUUUGUUUAGUUAUCCAGUCUUGAAACACCUUUUGAAAAUUAGUGAAUAACAUUCUCCACAUGUCCAAAUUACCCAGUUAUACCUUUCUGCAGAGGGAACGACAGUGCUCCAUUAUUCCUCUUUGACUCAUAUUAGGAUAGGAACAAUUUAGCGUGGCACAGCCAUCUUGUUACAGAAAAAAAUUCAUGCUUCCUUCCCAUGAAGCCUGCCUUUAUGAGAAAGGACUAUUUUGAACCUCUGCAGACUUCGUCAGGUAGAAGAAACAUGAAUUUAUUAUGGAAGAUGUUUUCUUGCUGAGAAGGUAUCUACAUGAGCACGGCAGGGGCAUUGGAACUAGAUGAUCUAUAAAGUCUCUUCCAAUCCAAACCAUUUAUGAUUCUAUGAAUAUUACUUAAAUAGAAAUUCCCUUGUUUUUUAGAGGACCACUGAUGUUAAAGAUUUUUUCCAUAGUAAUAUAGGAUCCUUGGGAUUGGAGGAGUUUAUCUUCUACCUACCUUGGUAAACAGCAUCUGCAGCUUUGCUUUAUGUCUGAAAAAUGACUUGAUGAAAACUGGGCUUGAGGUUGUAGAAUUUCCAUCCAAACCACCGAUCCAAGAAUUUUCUGCAUCAAAUGGCAAAAUGUUUUACUCUACAUGCGUUAAUUUGCAUAUUCACAGCAUGUAGCAUUCAUUUCUUUUUUCCGGUGAACAUCAGUGAGACCUGCAAGAAUUAUAUACGGAGCAAAGUUCCAGUUCAAUCAUGGGAACUGAAACACUGCUUCUGAGCUAAUAAAGCUGUGGUUUUGAUGUCAUUACCCAGUUCCCUGGAGUGAUUAUUUUUUUCCUAGCAAUACAUUUUUCUUCUAAUCAAUACAUCAAGAUUUCUUUCUGACUUUAUGGCACAUCCUCAUUAUUCAGUAGGUGUUAAUGUCAGAUUACUAAUCUCUCUGGCCAAACUCUGUUUCUCUUCUCACCACCCAAACUCUGUUUCUCUUCUCACCACCCACAGUCCUCUGUGAUGAGAACAAAUGAAGAGGUUCAGACCAAAAGCAUAUUGCUCAAUAUCCUGUCUCUCACAGUUGCUAAUAGGAAAUGUCUAGGUUCAUUCUGUGGGUGAUCUUGGUACAUCCAUGGAAACAUUUUAAUGAGAAAUGAUGGUUAAAAGCUAAUUCAGCUAUUACACUGAAGAGGCAAUUAAAAAAAUUGUAGCGCCAUCCUCAUUGUCUCCAGUUACAGUUUGUUUGAUAAUCUCUGUAAUCACAGAGGUAGCUUCCCAAAUUGGAGCAGGUUUACUGUAUAACAAUAUACAGUCUCCGUUUUUUAUAAGCUUCUGUGACGGUAACAUGCUCAAAACUUCGGCACUGAUGCUAUGUAUUGUGCUAUUUGCUUCUGUGUUAUGACAGGUUAAGUUAAUAGAGAAGUGCAGGCUUUCUAGAGACACUUUAUCAGUGUGAGAAAAGUAUGAAGCAUUCUCAGCAUUGUUUAACUUUGUAGCUGCAUCUGCUGCCUGCAGUAUUUGGUUAUACAUUUCUUUGUUGGACACCUGUAUGAAGUGAAAUAUAGUUUAUUAACCAGGUUAAUGUUGUGAAGUUGGUUAGAUCAUAGUCAAACUCAGCACUUGUCAAACAGUGCUUCAUUUUAGUGAUAGAGAAAAUGUUCUCAUUUGCCUGACAUUGUUUUCAUGAAUAAAAGGUUUUGGAGUGUUUUUUCCCUGAGAUGUUGAGGCAGAGAGGUGCUGAAAUGUAGAAAUCACAUACUGUAGUUGGAAUUUCCUCCUGAUAUUUUAUUUCCUAUUAAGUAGAUUGAUCCUUUUUUCCUCUCUGAAAAUAAAGAGAGGAGAUCUACUGCAUAUCCCCUGUGUGGGAAGGAGAAUGCAUGGGGCCAAGCUGGGGUUAUUGGUCUCUUUGCCACAGCCUGGUUCUGUGCAGCUUCCCCCUGAUCCAGGCUCAGACAGACUGGAGACCAUGGGCUGACCACAGAGGCAGACUCACAGGCCAACUUCUCUUACUGAAGCCGUGAGGCCUAAGUAAACAGAAACAACAGUUAUGCCUCCAGAGCACCUUUUAGAGGUUUUCUGUCAGAUUUCUCCAUCUACUUGAAGCUCUCUGUCACACAGGCUUUUCUGUGAUGCAGGGCACAGAGGUCGGGAACUCAGAGUGAAGGAAAUUGUAGAGCAGUGGAUUAAAUUUUGUUCAGUAUCACUCUGGAAAUACCUACCAUACAAAGACAAAAGCCACUGCAUGGGAGAGUUACUGCAAAGACAGAAUUCUAAUAGUGUGGUUGUCUUGCAGAGUCCCACAGGGUUUUUCUCUUUUAAUUCCAAAAAGCUCAUAGUUGUUAAAUGUGGUUGUGGUUUUGACUUCACUGUUCAUUCCCACAUCCAUUUUCAGAUCUCAGUCUGUUCAGAAAGGCAUUGUGGGGCCUGGAAGCAUGCCUCUGCAAACAGAAAACCAUCUUGUAUGGGAAUUGCUUAUGCCGAAGAAGAAAUACUUGCAGUUUGCCUUUUGCAGCUGGUCCUACUGAGGUUCAUCUGUAUGCAGAUGCAAUUUCAUAGUGGUGUCCCCUCCUGUGUUCAUGGUGCUCCUGUGCCUGCAGAGACAUCCGAUGUAUAACCACCUUUUCUCUGUUUUCCGUUAACAUUUCUCUUUCAUAUAUAUAUUUCUGUAUAAAGCAAAUGGUGCAGAACUGUACAUGUUGCAAACAUUUAAACAUACCACAGCUCUGCACUGAGACUUAUGCUCUGCUUACUGAUAUUGCACCAAAUAUUUCUUCCUCUGAACAGAUCCUUUUUAUCCCAGCAGACUUUAAAAUGAAGGGGGAAAUAAAAUACCACAAACCAAUUUGAAUUGCAGAUGGGCGUGAAACUUGUAUCAGUUGUUGGGGCAAGUGUAAGCAGGAUGGCUUUCAGAUUCUUCAGCAUCCAGAGGAAGACCUCACGCAUUCUGUCUGCCAACAAGACUAAUCUAACAGCAGCAUCACAAACAUCUUCUGUGCUCUUUCAUCUUCUGAUCUCAGGCUUCUGCCUCACCUCUGCUGAGUGCUGACAACACACUGAGCAGAGCCACUUCCCUGCCAUAACUCAGUCACAGAGCUUCUCACUCUGUUUUGGAUACUGGUAUUGCUUUGUAAAAUUAUGCUUUUGCAAUAUUACAGAUAACAACAUGCUUAAAUUAGCAACAAAAGAAGCAUAAAAUUGACAACUGCCUCUUUAGGAAAGACAAACCAGCAAGGUGAGGCAGUGAGGUUGCUUUUUACAUGAGGAGGCAAAGGAAUGUAUCAAGCUCUACCUGGGGAUGGACAAUGAACAAGUAGAGAGCUUGUGGGUGAGAAUUAAGGGGCAGGAUAAUGUGAGUGACACUGUUGUAGGUGUGUACUACAGGCUACUUUAUCAGGUGGGGGGAUUUUGAUGAGGCCUUCUACAAACAGCUGGAAGCAGCUCCACAGUCACAGGCAGUGGUUCUCAUGGGUACUUCUGUCAGUUUGAUACUUGCUGGAAAAACAGUGCUGCCAGGUACAUACAGACUGGGAGGUUCAUACAGUGUAUGGAGGCGGUUUCUGACACAGGUAGUGGAGAAGUCAAUGAGGAGAGAUUUGCUGCUGGAUCUUAUUCUUACAAACAAGGAAGAGCUGUCUGGGGAUGUGAGAGUUUAGGGCAGCUUGUGAUGCAGCAUUCAUGAGAUGGUGAAGUUCAGGAUCUUGCGUGGAAGAAACAGGGCAAGAAGUAGGAUUAUUACUCUGGAGUUCCAGAGAGCUGACUUAGAUAUCUGUCUUUGAAAGCCUACUUGGAAGGAUCCUAUGGGUUAGAGUGUUUAGAAUGUAAGGGGGAUUCAAGAGAGCUUGCUGACAUUCAAGCACCACUUCAAGCUUAAGAUCAGUGCAUCCCUAAGAGUAAGAAACAAGGCAAAGGUGGCAGGAAACCUGCAUGGAAGUGCAAGGCGCUCAUGGAUAAACUCAAAGGGAAGAAGGAAGUUUAUGGAAUGUAGAAAAAGGGAAUAGCCACGUGGAAAGAAUAUAGCAAUAAUGCCAAGGCAUGCAGGGAUGUUGUGAGAAAGGCUAAGGUGCAGUUGGAAGUAAACCCAGAAACAGUUGGCUCCCUUCCUUCAAGGAAAUGUGUUAUUCUAGAGCUUUUCUGGAGUUGAGGAUGCUGGUGGGAGUCAAGGAUGGCAUGAAUUGAAGACGCUGAUUUUGCAGAAGGCUCUGAAGCAGGAGUUUGACCUUCUGCUGCUACUGUUUGUGCUUCCAUUGCCUUGCAUGCUCGUCCUGUUCUAGUUCAGAAUUCUGUUAUUUAAAAUUUAAAAGACCUACACUCUUUUUUGUUUUGCAGCCUAGUAUGUGUAGUGUAUGACAGAUGGUGAGUAAUUCUUAUUAUUGUUCUUAUUAACAUCUGUUGUUGACAUGACUGCUUACAUCUAAAGGAAAAGUAGGAUCAAAGAGUUGAUCUUGCUCUUAUUUGCAGCAAAGACAAAACUGCUACAGUGACACAGCAGGCAGUUGCAGAGAGGGGAAGGACCGCAGCAGAAGUUUUCACUGGGGGAUUUGUGUGAAAUCAGGGCAGUAACUAUCCGCUACAUUUCUGAUUUUAACUUUCCUAAGCUCUAGACUUAUCCAUGUAGCAAGAAGUUAUUCUUCAACAAUGUUAUUAAUUUGUAAUGCAUGAGCAACUUUACAACAAAAAUCUAUAAACUGUUUAACUUCAUAUGCAUGUUUGAUCUUUUGUAGCUUGGCUUCUAAACACGCAUGAAAGCAAAUAAAACAGUGACACUGGGGAAUGCAGCAACUCAGUCAUAGGUCACAAGUCAUUCACCUUGGCAGAUGUUUACUUGUUCCUGUGGCUUAGAAAGGUUAACCUCCAGUUAUCUCUGAUCCCAGUGUCACUGCAGCAACAAAAUGGCUUCUGAAAGAAACAGCAUGGGGCACCUCAGGCUGGGGCUCUCAUUAGAGAGGCCAAUACAAGAAAUUAUGCAAAGUGGGAACUUUGUUGGCAGCCUUAGCAAAAAGAGCAUCUGGAGGCAGAUGCUAAACUGGCCAUCUGCUCGUGGGAUUUUAGUUUCCAAAGGCGAGUGAGGCUGAACAUGUUUUAUUUUGGACAAAA